rnacentral:tRNA from 1 species
AGAAAGUUAGUCUAACAGAAAGACAGUUGAUUUCGACUCAACAGACCAUAGCCCUACCCUAUGACUUUCUC